rnacentral:rRNA from 1 species
AGCACGAGUACUUGUACUUGGUGGCGACCGGCGCACGGGUGAGUAACGCGUAUGCAACCUACCUUAUACUGAGGGAUAGCCCAGAGAAAUUUGGAUUAAUACCUCAUAGUAUCAUUUGAAGGCAUCUGAGAAUGAUUAAAGAUUUAUCGGUAUAAGAUGGGCAUGCGUAAGAUUAGUUAGUUGGUGAGGUAACGACUCACCAAGACUUCGAUCUUUAGGGGUUCUGAGAGGAUGACCCCCCACACUGGUACUGAGAUACGGACCAGACUUC